CCUCUGCCCCACGGGGGGCGGGGGGGAGGCAGCGAGUUACUCCGGCGUUGCUUCUUUGGGGCGCACUCACGUUAGCGCCUACCUGCGCUCUCCCGGGCUGAGCCGCAUCGUCUGCCUUCAGCUGAUGCAGUGACCUCACCGGAGGCUCAGGCAGACCACAGACUUCAGCAUCACGGAGAGCCUUAAAUGAAACAUGACAUCAUCCAAUUGAGAAACAAGACAAUAGACACCACUGUGGGUAACUUGAAAAUGCACACUUCGCUGAGCAACACCCCGCGCCUGCCAUUCUCCUGCGGACAUCAAAUCCAGCCCUCGCUGUGCCCGGAGCUGCGCCGGCUUCACCUUCCCGGCCCCGCCGCCAUUCUCAUUCAAGUCCACCAAAGACGCGGGGUCUCUGGAUAUUUCCAAGUUCACUUCCUGAGUUAUAAGUUUGUUUCAAAGUAAAUGGGCACAUCUUCCAGUUUUGCAGCGAGGUUUAGGGGGUGGGGGCGGGGCAAUGAGUAACACCCAGCUGGGAGAAGUUUGGACGCUUAGUUUCUGUUCGUUAAUGAGACAUUUAGCACAGUCUCCAGUAAGCAUGAUGAAAUGGUAAUAUAUUAAAGCUUGAUUUUGCUUAAAAACGGUCUUUAAAAUCUAUCUGAAGACAAAUAUCUAAAAUGUAAACUUACGGGCAUUUCUUAGAAAAAGCUACAUUCUGUGGUUGGUAGUGGAAAAUACUACGAAGUAAAGGCAGAAUGAUGAAGUCCCGACUUCAGCAGGGCAGACUUUCGAAUCAUUUUGGGCUUUGGUGUCCCUAAGCCCACCUGUCAGUUUUAAAGUACUUAUUAUCUUUUAAAGAAAGAGAGAUGCAAAGG